CAAGACGUAGCUUUAACAAAAGCAUUCAGCUUACACCUGGAAGAUAUCCGCUCAAUCACGGAUCGUCUUGA
rnacentral:tRNA from 1 species